rnacentral:rRNA from 1 species
CCCUUAGAUGUUCUGGGCCGCACGCGUGCUACACUGAUGCAUUCAACGAGUCUAAAACCUGGUCUGAUAGGGCUGGGUAAUCUUUUGAAAGUGCAUCGUGAUUGGGAUAGAUGAUUGCAAUUCUUCAUCUUCAACGAGGAAUGCCUAGUAAACGCAAGUCAUCAGCUUGCAUUGAUUACGUCCCCGCCCUUUGUACACACCGCCCGUCGCUCCUACCGAUUGAAUGAUCCGAUGAAUAUCAUGGAUUGAGAGUACGAAUGGGUUCGCUCAUUUCUGCUGCUCGAGAAGUGAAGUAAAUCUUAUCAUUUAGAGGAAGGAGAAGUCGUAACA